GACGUAGGGCGCGAGCGUUGUCCGGAUUUAUUGGGCGUAAAGAGCUCGUAGGCGGCUUGUCGCGUCGUUCGUGAAAACUCACAGCUCAACUGUGAGCUUGCGGUCGAUACGGGCAGGCUAGAGUUCGGUAGGGGAGACUGGAAUUCCUGGUGUAGCGGUGAAAUGCGCAGAUAUCAGGAGGAACACCGGUGGCGAAGGCGGGUCUCUGGGCCGAUACUGACGCUGAGGAGCGAAAGCCAGGGGAGCGAACGGG
rnacentral:rRNA from 1 species